rnacentral:rRNA from 1 species
GGGGAAUCUUGGACAAUGGGCGAAAGCCUGAUCCAGCCAUGCCGCGUGAAUGAUGAAGGUCUUAGGAUUGUAAAAUUCUUUCACCGGGGAAGAUAAUGACGGUACCCGGAGAAGAAGCCCCGGCUAACUUCGUGCCAGCAGCCGCGGUAAUACGAAGGGGGCUAGCGUUGCUCGGAUUUACUGGGUGUAAAGGGUGCGUAGGCGGAUUGGUAAGUUGGAGGUGAAAGCCCAGGGCUCAACCCUGGAAUUGCCUUCAAAACUGCUAGUCUUGAGUGUGGGAGAGGUAAGUGGAAUUCCGAGUGUAGAGGUGAAAUUCGUAGAUAUUCGGAAGAACACCAGUGGCGAAGGCGACUUACUGGACCAAUACUGACGCUGAGGCACGAAAGCGUGGGGAGCAAAC